rnacentral:lncRNA from 1 species
CUAAAAGAAGAUAAGAUCCCACCAGAAAGGGAAGCUAUUGACCGAUGCCAUACACCUUCGACCAAGCGACUUUCACUGGCCACUCACUAAUCUCAGAGGGCCGAUCUUUGUGGAGAGUGAACCUAGAGAGAAAGAAAGCUCCUGGAUUCCUCUAGCACUAGAGAGAUAGAUUCCUGUAAAACAGGAUAUACCUCUAUCCAUUUUUUGAUUUUCAGUCAGACAAAACCAAGUCUGAUACUUGUCUGGUUGCCUCCUGUUUCAAACCUUUUGCACACCGCCCUCUCUCCUUUCCGAUGAUAGACAUCAAAAACAAAGACUCGCACGCGAGCCUGUUCAAUAGCCCCACCAAUAACCUGGUUCGUUGGGAACUAUUCACUAUUCGAAGGGGAAAGUCUUAUUUCGAAGGAAAGGGUUGGGAGCAAGGGAGUCAUCAGCUAGAAUCACUGACGGAGAAAUUGACUGGGAUUCCUACUUUUCUUAUCCCGAUUCCAUGUAAAAAUGAUCAAAUGGGUCACUUUUC